GAGAAAAUUUGUUUUAUCAUUGAUGUACUAUAACAAGCAAAGAAGACAAACAAUAGCAGUGAACAUUUAAAUUGAUGUGAAUGCACUCUAUCAAUAGAUAUGCAAGGUGCUAAAUUGCAGCAGCUACUUGAGUAAUAGGAACAUAUAAAGUGUCACUGAACAAGAAAAAAGGCCUUUUAAUAUUUAAAGGACACACACACACACACAUAUGUGUGUGUGUGUGUACAUAUAUAUACAAAAGGCAAGUUGGUCCAAAUUUGAGCAAAAGAAAUACACUGUGAAGAAAGCAUUACAUUGUCUUCAUGGUGGUGGUCUAUACUUUGUAACUUGAUUUCUUAAAAUAACCUCAAAAGGUUUCUACCUAUUAGCAAAGCAUCAAUCUCUAAGAAAGAUUGUGUACAUAGUGUUCAAGAGAUAUACACUAAUGAAUGCCAUUUGCUGUAUGAUUUAGUGUUGAUUAAUGAACUAUGAAGAUCAAAUUUUGAAGUAGCAUUGCUGUUUCUGAAAACAAAAACAAAAAAACAAAAGUCAUAGCAAAGCCUACAUAUUGUUAUGAGGAAAAAGCUAUUAAGAAACAGCUAUUAAGUUUUCAGUUAAUUGGUCAACUCAAGAGGUACCUAUGGAAUGCGUUCCAAUUUGGAGACUUGGAGAAGCUAAUAAAAAGCAUUACGGCCAUAUGUGAUGAAUGGUUGAUAUGUAAAGAGUCAGGUCAAACAGAAGCAUAUAACAGAAAUGAGAAUACCUAAGAUUCAUGUCUUAGGAACCAGGAAUACAUAUUCGGCAAUGGUGAAAGGAAUGUGGCAGUCAUUGGAAAAUCAUUUGAGCCGCACGGUUAUUAUCAAUGAAAAUCUCAUAGAAAAGUAAGAGUGUGACCAAGGGCAACUUGAUAGGUCCGGAUGACAAGCUGAAAGGUAACAAGCAUUAAAAUUGUAUCACAUCUGAUCCAUCAAAAGUGAAAAUAACACUAGAAUUCUUCGAUAGGUGUAACAAUUACUAUGAAACAAUAUAGUAUCUCUAAUUGCUAACGGAAGAACAUAAUAUAUUUAAUCCUAAGCAUCAUUUAUUAUGGGGAAACUUUUUUUCUAAGGAAGAAUGAGUGUGAUAAAUUAGAUUGCAUAAGUUGAACAUAUUGGAUAUAAAAUUUUGCUAGGUGAAUUUUGAUAAACUUUUGCUGCUACCCUUUUCUUUAUAUGUAAACUGUGACCACCACUUCUUUCUUCAUCAUUCUAUGAUGUUCCUUGAUAUGUACAUCCAUCACGACCGUUUUCUAGAAGUGGCAGUUAGUUUCAACUGUCAACCAAAACUGAAGAAACCAAAGAGACAACUUACAAAAUAGCAAGUUUUAUUAUUCAAGAUAAUUAGAGAAGAUCAUAUUGCUAACUUAUGCUAUUUACUUGAACAUUUACAAACUGG
rnacentral:lncRNA from 1 species